CCUACGGGUGGCUGCAGUGAGGAAUAUUGGUCAAUGGGCUUACGCCUGAACCAGCCAAGUCGCGUGAGGGAAGACUGCCCUAUGGGUUGUAAACCUCUUUUGUCAGGGAGCAACGCCGGCUACGUGUAGCCGCACUGAAAGUACCCGAAGAAAAAGCAUCGGCUAACUCCGUGCCAGCAGCCGCGGUAAUACGGAGGAUGCGAGCGUUAUCCGGAUUUAUUGGGUUUAAAGGGUGCGUAGGCGUGAUGCCAAGUCAGCGGUAAAAUCUCGGGGCUCAACCGCGCUCGGCCGUUGAAACUGGCGUUCUUGAGUGGGCGAGAGGUAUGCGGAAUGCGUGGUGUAGCGGUGAAAUGCAUAGAUAUCACGCAGAACUCCGAUUGCGAAGGCAGCAUGCCGGCGCCCAACUGACGCUGAAGCACGAAAGCGUGGGUAUCGAACAGGAUUAGAUACCCGGGUAGUC
rnacentral:rRNA from 1 species